rnacentral:rRNA from 1 species
AGAGUUUGAUCAUGGCUCAGGAUGAACGCUGGCGGCGUGCCUAAUACAUGCAAGUCGAACGAGUUCUGAUUAUUGAAAGGUGCUUGCAUCUUGAUUUAAUUUUGAACGAGUGGCGGACGGGUGAGUAACACGUGGGUAACCUGCCCUUAAGUGGGGGAUAACAUUUGGAAACAGAUGCUAAUACCGCAUAAAUCCAAGAACCGCAUGGUUCUUGGCUGAAAGAUGGCGUAAGCUAUCGCUUUUGGAUGGACCCGCGGCGUAUUAGCUAGUUGGUGAGGUAACGGCUCACCAAGGCAAUGAUACGUAGCCGAACUGAGAGGUUGAUCGGCCACAUUGGGACUGAGACACGGCCCAAACUCCUACGGGAGGCAGCAGUAGGGAAUCUUCCACAAUGGACGCAAGUCUGAUGGAGCAACGCCGCGUGAGUGAAGAAGGCUUUCGGGUCGUAAAACUCUGUUGUUGGAGAAGAAUGGUCGGCAGAGUAACUGUUGUCGGCGUGACGGUAUCCAACCAGAAAGCCACGGCUAACUACGUGCCAGCAGCCGCGGUAAUACGUAGGUGGCAAGCGUUAUCCGGAUUUAUUGGGCGUAAAGCGAGCGCAGGCGGUUUUUUAAGUCUGAUGUGAAAGCCCUCGGCUUAACCGAGGAAGUGCAUCGGAAACUGGGAAACUUGAGUGCAGAAGAGGACAGUGGAACUCCAUGUGUAGCGGUGAAAUGCGUAGAUAUAUGGAAGAACACCAGUGGCGAAGGCGGCUGUCUGGUCUGUAACUGACGCUGAGGCUCGAAAGCAUGGGUAGCGAACAGGAUUAGAUACCCUGGUAGUCCAUGCCGUAAACGAUGAAUGCUAGGUGUUGGAGGGUUUCCGCCCUUCAGUGCCGCAGCUAACGCAUUAAGCAUUCCGCCUGGGGAGUACGACCGCAAGGUUGAAACUCAAAGGAAUUGACGGGGGCCCGCACAAGCGGUGGAGCAUGUGGUUUAAUUCGAAGCAACGCGAAGAACCUUACCAGGUCUUGACAUCUUUUGAUCACCUGAGAGAUCAGGUUUCCCCUUCGGGGGCAAAAUGACAGGUGGUGCAUGGUUGUCGUCAGCUCGUGUCGUGAGAUGUUGGGUUAAGUCCCGCAACGAGCGCAACCCUUAUGACUAGUUGCCAGCAUUUAGUUGGGCACUCUAGUAAGACUGCCGGUGACAAACCGGAGGAAGGUGGGGAUGACGUCAAAUCAUCAUGCCCCUUAUGACCUGGGCUACACACGUGCUACAAUGGAUGGUACAACGAGUUGCGAGACCGCGAGGUCAAGCUAAUCUCUUAAAGCCAUUCUCAGUUCGGACUGUAGGCUGCAACUCGCCUACACGAAGUCGGAAUCGCUAGUAAUCGCGGAUCAGCACGCCGCGGUGAAUACGUUCCCGGGCCUUGUACACACCGCCCGUCACACCAUGAGAGUUUGUAACACCCGAAGCCGGUGGCGUAACCC